rnacentral:rRNA from 1 species
UACGUAGGAGGCAAGCGUUGUCCGGAAUUACUGGGCGUAAAGGGCGCGUAGGCGGCCUUCUAAGUCAGACGUGAAAUCCCCCGGCUUAACCUGGGAACUGCGUCUGAUACUGGGAGGCUUGAGUAUGGGAGAGGGAUGUAGAAUUCCAGGUGUAGCGGUGAAAUGCGUAGAUAUCUGGAGGAAUACCGGUGGCGAAGGCGGCAUCCUGGACCAUAACUGACGCUGAGGCGCGAAAGCUAGGGGAGCAAACGGG